UACAGAGGUCUCAAGCGUUGUUCGGAUUCAUUGGGCGUAAAGGGUGCGUAGGCGGCGCGGUAAGUCGGGUGUGAAAUCUCGGAGCUUAACUCCGAGACUGCAUUCGAUACUGCCGUGCUUGAGGACUGGAGAGGAGACUGGAAUUUACGGUGUAGCGGUGAAAUGCGUAGAUAUCGUAAGGAAGACCAGUGGCGAAGGCGGGUCUCUGGACAGUUCCUGACGCUGAGGCACGAAGGCCAGGGGAGCAAACGGG
rnacentral:rRNA from 1 species